rnacentral:rRNA from 1 species
GACGAACGCUGGCGGCGUGCUUAACACAUGCAAGUCGAACGGUAAGGCCCCAGCUUGCUGGGGUACACGAGUGGCGAACGGGUGAGUAACACGUGGGUGACCUGCCCCGCACUUCGGGAUAAGCCUGGGAAACUGGGUCUAAUACCGGAUACGAACGCACCGUGAGGGUGUGGUGGAAAGUUUUUCGGUGUGGGAUGGGCCCGCGGCCUAUCAGCUUGUUGGUGGGGUAAUGGCCUACCAAGGCGGCGACGGGUAGCCGGCCUGAGAGGGUGGACGGCCACAUUGCGACUGCGACACGGCCCAGACUCCUACGGGAGGCAGCAGUGUGGAAUAUUGCACGAUGGGCGGAAGCCUAAUGCAGCGACGCCGCGUGGGGGAUGACGGCCUUCGGGUUGUAAACUCCUUUCACCAUCGACGAAGGUUUUCUGACGGUAAAUGGAGAAGAAGCACCGGCUAACUACGUG